rnacentral:rRNA from 1 species
AUUGAACGCUGGCGGCAGGCCUAACACAUGCAAGUCGAACGAGUGGCGGACGGGUGAGUAAUGUCUGGGAAACUGCCCGAUGGAGGGGGAUAACUACUGGAAACGGUAGCUAAUACCGCAUACCCUCGGAUGUGCCCCGAUGGGAUUAGCUAGUAGGUGGGGUAACGGCUCACCUAGGCGACGAUCCCUAGCGGGUCUGAGAGGAUGACCAGCAAAAUGGGAAUGGAGACACGGUCCAGACUCCUACGGGAGGCAGCAGUGGGGAAUAUUGCACAAUGGGCGAAAGCCUGAUGCAGCAAUGCCGCGUGUAUGAAGAAGGCCUUCGGGUGGUAAAGUACUUUCAGCGGGGAGGCGUUACUCGCAGAAGAAGCACCGGCUAACUCCGUGCCAGCAGCCGCGGUAAUUC